GGCUGGAGGAGGCUUGCACCGGGCUGGGGCAGAGUGAGCAAGGGAGACUGCGGUAGAGAGGAGCCAGAUUGCUGUCUUCAAGAAGAAUUUUAUACUGCUGUCAUGAGAAAAUCGCUUACGGUUCCUUCAGAUGUCAAGAUUCUGUCAUUUCUGCAGAUGUGGCCCAUUGUGAUUCAGGAUCUGAGCGUUCUCUGUAUAAUAGUUUUUACUUGGUUCUUCAUGAAGACGAUGCAUCGUGCUUCUUUUGAGAACCAUGAGGAUCAUUCCCAAAUAAUUCAAAGAAGGAUUGUUUAUUUUAACUUGUGCUAGUUAUUAAAAUUCAUUUUAUGUGUAUGAAAUCAUAUAGGUAUCAGCAUGGAAAAUAAAGCUAUUUUCUUUUACCUCAGUCAAAACCA